GGUCAGUGGUUGCAUGUGUCCGGGGGUCGCUGCGGCGACGCGCCCCGGACUCGACCAGCCGGGGGGCGGGGCUCACCGCAGCUCGGCAGCUGAGCCUGGCGGCAGCCCGCC